rnacentral:rRNA from 1 species
GAAAGUAAUGAAGGGCGUACGGUGGAUGCCUAGGCUCUUACAGGCGAUGAAGGACGUGAUAAGCUGCGAAAAGCCGCGGUGAGGCGCAAAUGGCCCUUGACCCGCGGAUCUCCGAAUGGGACAACCCAAUAUCUUGAAGAGAUAUUAUCCCGCCGAUGCGGGAGGCGAACGCGGGGAACUGAAACAUCUUAGUACCCGCAGGAAAAGAAAAUAAAGAAUGAUUCCCCCAGUAGUGGCGAGCGACCGGGGAAGAGCCCAAACCGACGUUGUCUCGGCAUCGUCGGGGUUGUAGGACCGCGCCAUCGCAAGAAAGGCCGUGAGUGGAAGCGACUGGAAAGCCGCGCCAUAGAGGGUGACAGCCCCUUACACGAAGCAGCCCGAAGCGUAGCGGACUCCUGAGUAGCGCGGGACACGAGUAAUCCUGUGUGAAUCCGCCGGGCCCAUCCGGCAAGGCUAAAUACUCGUAAGAGACCGAUAGUGAACCAGUACCGUGAGGGAAAGGUGAAAAGUACCCCUUGCAGGGGAGUGAAAGAGUUCCUGAAACCGUACGCCUACAAGCGGUCGGAGCAUCUUGAAUGAUGUGACGGCGUGCCUUUUGCAUAAUGAACCUACGAGUUGCCGUCACCAGCGAGGUUAAGUGCGAUGACGCACCGAGCCGCAGCGGAAGCGAGUCUUAAAAUGGCGCGAUAGUUGGUGGAGGCAGACGCGAAACCGAGUGAUCUACACUUGUCCAGGAUGAAGUCCCGGUAACACGGGAUGGAGGUCCGCACCAAUAAGCGUUGAAAAGCUUCUGGAUGAGGUGAGUGUAGGAGUGAAAGGCCAAUCAAACUCGGAGAUAGCUCGUACUCCCCGAAAGGCAUUUAGGUGCCGCCUGUGGCGUUCCCGACGUGAGGUAGAGCGACUGAUAGGAUGCGAGGGCUUCACCGCCUAUCAAGUCCUGACAAACUCCGAAUGCACGUCGGCCAAGCCAUGGAGUAAGGGCAUGGGUGCUAAGGUCCGUGCCCGAGAGGAGAAGAAUCCAGACCACCGGCUAAGGUCCCGAAAUACUGGUUAAGUUAGACUAACGCAGUCCGGCCCCCAAGACAGCUAGGAUGUUGGCUUGGAAGCAGCCAUUCAUUCAAAGAGUGCGUAACAGCUCACUAGUCGAGGAGCUGGGCGUGGAUAAUAAUCGGGUAUGAAACCAGUUACCGAAGCCGUGGGAUGCUUAAGCAUCGGUAGGGGAGCAUUGCAUGCGGCUUAGAAGGCGGGGCGCGAGCCCCUCUGGAGCGCAUGGAAACGCAAAUGUAGGUAUAAGUAACGACAAGGGGGGUGGGAUGCCCCCCCGCCGAAAGACCAAGGUUUCCUGAACAACGCUAAUCGGUUCAGGGUCAGUCGGGUCCUAAGCAUAAGCCGUAUGGCGAGGGCGAUGGACGAAACGGUUAAUAUUCCGUUACUGUCUUGGUGUGUGACGCGGCGACGGAGUAGUGACACGGCCGCCUCCUGACGGAAAAGGGGGUUGAAGCGCAAAGGUGUCGAGGAAGGCAGGCAAAUCCACCUUCCGAGCCGAAGCGCGAAAGUACGCCGGGCCCUUUGGGGCAAGGCGAUAGUGCCGGUAAUCAGACUUCCAAGAAAACCCGCUAAACUUCAGCACCAAGUCACCCGUACUCCAAACGGACACACGUGGUCGGGUAGAAUAUACUAAGGCGCUUGGGAGAUUCACGGUUAAGGAACUAGGCAAAUUGACCCCGUACCUUCGGAAUAAGGGGUCCUCGCUUUUGCGAGGCGCAGAGAAUAGGUCCAGGCAACUGUUUAACAAAAACACAGGGCUGUGCAAAUUUGAAAGAAGAAGUAUACAGCCUGACACCUGCCCGGUGCCGGAAGGUUAAGAGGAGAGCUCAUCAGCGAUGAGAAGGCUUGAAUUGAAGCCCCGGUAAACGGCGGCCGUAACUAUAACGGUCCUAAGGUAGCGAAAUUCCUUGUCGG